rnacentral:misc_RNA from 1 species
GAAAUGCGAUAAGUAAUGUGAAUUGUAGAAUUCAGUGAAUCAUCGAAUCUUUGAACGCACCUUGCGCUCCUUGGUAUUCCUUGGAGCAUGCCUGUUUGAGUAUCAUGAAAUCUUCAAAGUAAAUCUUUUGUUAACUCAAUUGGCUUCUACUUUGGUAUUGGAGGUCUUUGCAGCUUCACACCUGCUCCUCUUUGUUCAUUAGCUGGAUCUCAGUGUUAUGCUUGGUUCCACUCGGCGUGAUAAGUUAUCUAUCGCUGAGGACACUGUAAAAGGUGGCCAAGGUAAAUGCAGAUGAACCGCUUCUAAUAGUCCAUUGACUUGGACAAUACUUUUAUGAUCUGAUCUCAAAUCAGGUAGGACUACCCGCUGAACUUAAGC